rnacentral:sRNA from 1 species
UGUAAGAUAAGUCGACCGUAUUCUGAUGGGCAACAACUCCUUGGAGAGUCGCAUAGCAAGGCUUGUCCACUCGCAUUUUGACGCCCUGCCGAAACGCAGCAAACCAACAAUCCAUCCUGAUGGAUCGAGGCAAUGGGUACCCCUGAGCGGUAUUGUACUUGCCAUUGGGGAGAAUACACAGGAUGAGAUUUUAACUUGUGUAGCUAUCGCAACAGGGGCGAAAUGCCUCUCAUCUUCUCAAAUGAAACAAUGCCGCGGCAUGGUAUUGCAUGAUAGCCACGCUGAAAUCUUAGCGAUUCGGGCUUUCAACCACUGGCUGCUUGAAGAAUGCAAAUCCCUGCUUCAACAGAGGGUAGGCUCUUCUAAUUAUGAAUUUGACCGUGGGAGCAUUGGAACCAACGAGGCCAGCGACAACUAUGGCGCGGGGGCAUAUCCAGCCCACGAAGGGAUGUCUGAUAAGCAAGCAUCGGUGUUCAUAAAUUGGAGACAUCGGCCGGAAAUGCAGGAAACGCAGGAAACGCCAGCUCCAUACAACCUCUCUAGAACUUCAGAUAUCAAUCACUUGGCGAAGACAAAAUUUUCAUGGCCGCCCUUCGAACUCCGUAAGGACCUAAAAAUAUAUAUGUACGGAACCUGUGCUCCUUGUGGCGAUGCCAGCAUGGAGCUUUGCAUGGCCUCUCAAGAGGAUCCGACACCAUGGACGAUGCCUCACCUGAAAGCCGAUAACGACCUCGAAAUCUCCAAUAGCAAUGAUUGCGAUACCAAUGGAGCAAAUAAUACUUCACACCGCGCCACGAAGCUUCUAAACGGCCGCGCUCACUUCUCCAUACUCGGUGCUGUGCGCCGCAAGCCUUCUCGUGCCGACGCGGAAUCAACUCUGAGCAAAUCUUGCUCAGACAAAUUGGCAGUGAAGCAGGUGACAUCGCUUCUGACAUUUCCAGCGUGCCUACUCAUUGCCCCGAGCCCAAAUGCUUAUUUGACAACACUGCUGCUUCCGGAGGAGGAAAUAAGUCGUGUGGCAUGCGCGAGAGCUUUUGGGAGUGGUGAAACUGGGCGGCUUAGAGCAUUAAAUGGGCGGAUAUGGAGCGAUGAUGAUGGAACGACUGCGUUUCUAGGUGGGCGGGUAAAUUAUGCACUCCACCCGUUUGACGUUCGUCCCGUCCCCACCGUUCAGUUCCAAGAGGAGUGGGCGUUUGGGAAGCCGAACCGAAACGAUGGGAAGAUGAAGAAGAAAUGCAAAUCGGGAAAUAUCUCUGCCGUUUGGACAGCUGCUCCAUCAUCUACAUCGGCGAACGGGGGAUGUGGGAAAGCAAAAUCAACGACCAACCUAAAUGAAACUCUGGUCAAUGGCGUUAAACAAGGUUACCACAUUUCUUCGCCCUCACCACGGAAAGCAAGCGCGCUGUCCCGCGCAAAGAUGUGGAGUUUACUAAGGGAUAUUGCGCAACUUUUGCCCUCCGCUGAUGAGUAUUGUGGGAAUAAUACGAGCACAAUCCAGGAAGGUAAACUCGAGGAACAUAUGAGUACCGAGAGAGCGUUGGAUAAUACACAAGAUAAUGCACUACUUGCGACAUUAAAAGACUAUGUGCUCAUAGAGCAAAAUUAUUAUCUGAUGAAGCGGGGAUGUGUCGAAGUGGGCCUCGGUCCCGUGAAGGUUAGAAAGGAGGUGAUUUCGGAUGUGAGGGAGGCGCUUGGAAACUGGGUUGAGAAUCGGGGGGAUGAUAACUGGGGCUUGGAGGUUUUGAAUGAACUCAAAGCCGGAAUGGUUGUGGGAAGGGUGUAACAUAUUUACAUCACAUGCUGUAGAGAGAGGGCAUGUGUCAAGUAAAAUAAUAUUCAAUAUUGUGUCAAGUUAUCAAUACAUUUAACUAGCUAUUGAUUUUAAUAGGGUUUACUAUAGAUCAGUCAGAACUCCACACCUUCUCGAGAGGGAUGGAUAAUUACACCCGGUGCCUAAUUAAACCUGG